UACGGCCAUAGAAGCUAGAAAGCAUCGCAUCCCGUCAGAUCUGCGCAAUUAAGCUAGCUGUCGCUCGGUCAGUACCAUCGUGGGGGACCAGAUGGGAAUCCCGGGUGUUGUAGUU